rnacentral:lncRNA from 1 species
AUUUUUGUCUAUUUCACUUGUUUAUGGCGCAGAUAACUGAUUUUUAAAAAUCGAAGAACAAGUGCUAUAUCUUAUUGUUUAUUUGACGGCGGAAUGACGGUUAGAGACUCAGAUAAUAGGGUCCGUACUACAUCUGGAAGUCAACGAGUAUGGACUCGGCUAAGUCGGCUUUGAAAUACGAUGAUGAACCAGUUGCCUAUAACAUGCAGUUUUUAUACAGCUUCACUGGACGAAGUGAUAGAGAAAUUAUAUAACG